UACGGGGGGGGCAAGCGUUGUUCGGAAUUACUGGGCGUAAAGGGCUCGUAGGCGGCCAACUAAGUCAGACGUGAAAUCCCUCGGCUUAACCGGGGAACUGCGUCUGAUACUGGAUGGCUUGAAUCCGGGAGAGGGAUGCGGAAUUCCAGGUGUAGCGGUGAAAUGCGUAGAUAUUGGGAGGAACACCAGUGGCGAAGGCGGCUGCCUGGACCGGUUCUGACGCUGAGGCGCGAAAGCGUGGGUAGCAAACAGG
rnacentral:rRNA from 1 species